AUUGAACGCUGGCGGAAUGCUUUACACAUGCAAGUCGAACGGCAGCACGGACUUCGGUCUGGUGGCGAGUGGCGAACGGGUGAGUAAUACAUCGGAACGUGCCCAGUCGUGGGGGAUAACGUAGCGAAAGCUACGCUAAUACCGCAUACGAUCUAAGGAUGAAAGCGGGGGAUCGCAAGACCUCGCGCGAUUGGAGCGGCCGAUGGCAGAUUAGGUAGUUGGUGGGGUAAAGGCCUACCAAGGCGACGAUCUGUAGCUGGUCUGAGAGGACGACCAGCCACACUGGGACUGAGACACGGCCCAGACUCCUACGGGAGGCAGCAGUGGGGAAUUUUGGACAAUGGGCGCAAGCCUGAUCCAGCCAUUCCGCGUGAAGGAUGAAGGCCCUCGGGUUGUAAACUGCUUUUGUACGGAACGAAAAGGCUCUGGUUAAUACCCGGGGCUCAUGACGGUACCGUAAGAAUAAGCACCGGCUAACUACGUGCCAGCCGCCGCGGUAA
rnacentral:rRNA from 1 species